AGAGUUUGAUCCUGGCUCAGAACGAACGCUGGCGGCAGGCCUAACACAUGCAAGUCGAGCGAAGCCCUCGGGCUUAGCGGCGGACGGGUGAGUAACGCGUGGGAACGUGCCCUUCUCUACGGAAUAGUCCCGGGAAGCUGGGUUUAAUACCGUAUACGCCCUUCGGGGGAAAGAUUUAUCGGAGAAGGAUCGGCCCGCGUUGGAUUAGGUAGUUGGUGGGGUAAUGGCCUACCAAGCCGACGAUCUAUAGCUGGUUUGAGAGGAUGAUCAGCCACACUGGGACUGAGACACGGCCCAGACUCCUACGGGAGGCAGCAGUGGGGAAUCUUAGACAAUGGGGGAAACCCUGAUCUAGCCAUGCCGCGUGAGUGAAGAAGGCCCUAGGGUCGUAAAGCUCUUUCGCCAGGGAUGAUAAUGACAGUACCUGGUAAAGAAACCCCGGCUAACUCCGUGCCAGCAGCCGCGGUAAUACGGAGGGGGUUAGCGUUGUUCGGAAUUACUGGGCGUAAAGCGCGCGUAGGCGGGCUGUUAAGUCGGGGGUGAAAUCCCGGGGCUCAACCCCGGAACUGCCUCCGAUACUGGCAGCCUAGAGGUCGAGAGAGGUGAGUGGAAUUCCGAGUGUAGAGGUGAAAUUCGUAGAUAUUCGGAGGAACACC
rnacentral:rRNA from 1 species